AGACUUACCUGACGACGGGUUCAGGGUGAUCAAGAAUGCUCUGACCAUGAGUGGAGGCUCAUCAUUGCACCUCGGUGGGUUGAAACUUGCGAUAGACCCUAAUCGAGUGCGCUUUGGCGUGUAGUUUUAGUCGCUGGGGACGCCUGC
rnacentral:snRNA from 15 species